rnacentral:lncRNA from 1 species
AUGGACAGCGUCGCCUGGGUCGUAAGUAUGAGGCAAUGGAAUAUCGCAUUUAAGCUCAGGGACUUUUAUCUUGCUAUAGCAAGGCUGCCUGGGCUUGGAGCAGCCGAAUGCUCAGUGGAUGCCAUGCAUCCGGGGAUAUGGGAACAGUAUACAGCCACGCUAGCCAGAGAGGCAAAAUCCUCAGGCGAAAGCGUUACGGCACAGAGCAAGGUAAAAAAAACCCCGCGCAAAGCAAUAGAAAAGCAGGAGACGCGGAGUGCAGCACAUAUGUGUUUAUUAGUCAAACCCGAGCUCGGGGGGGGGGCAAAAGCGCAGACCGUCCCUGAGGAGAGCCCACCCGGGACCGGAGACCCGAGAAAGCUCAGCGCGACAGCCCCUUCCCCGGAUCGGAGCCCGGCCCGGCCCCGCCGGGGAGCGGAGCCCAGCCCGGCACAGAGGACCGUUCCCGCCGGAGCCCGGGGCGGCGCGUUCCGGGCGCCGCGGCCCCGCUUCCGCCGGAGCGCGCUCCGAGCGCCGCGGCCCCGCUCCCGCCGCAAAUCGGACCCACCCGCGGCUCCGCGCCGCUUCCCCGCCGGCGUGCCGAGCGGAGCAGCGCCGGGCCCCGCCGCGGGGGCCCCCCGAGACGCCCCCGCCGCGGAAGACCCCCGGGAAACCCCCGCCGCAAAAAAGCCCCGAAAAGCCGCGGCUUGCCGACACGUCCCGCCGCCGCCGCCGGUCAGAGAUCCGCGGUCAAAGGCGCAGCCGCGCGCGAGGCGCUCUUGGCGAGAGCCGGCGGGAGAGACCGGAGUCGCGGGGGCCGCGGCUCGGGGAGAAUCCCCGGCCGCGCGGCCAUGCGGCCGUUUUGAAAAUGGCGCCGGGUGCCGCGGAGGGGGGCGGAACCCGGGCGGUCCCGGCGCGAAAACUCGGACACCGCGCGAUCUCAGAAACGCGCGCGCGCGGGAGAAAGGGGCGGAGAGCGGCUCGGAGCACAGAGCCAAUCAGCAGCCGCGCCAAGCGCCGCCACCAUAUAAGGCAAAAACCACCCCCCGCAGGGGGCGCGGCGAGCCGGGGGGGCGGGAGCGGCGCCUCCCCCGCGGGGAGGAGCGAGCCCGGGGCCGAACAAAACGGCGCGGGGCCCCGGAAGUACGCUGGCAUUUCAUUUCCGGCGCGGAGCUUAGCAACAGAUCUACCGGCCCCACAGAGCCGGCAGGGGCCAGCCGAAACCCCAAAACAAAAGAUACGGAACCAGCACAGCUUAAAACAAAACCAAAUAGAGUUCUAAGCCGCACCGAAAAGCGGUCACAAUACCCCUUAGAGCUGCGACAGAAAAGAGCAUCUCGCCAAACAAUACAGGUCCCAACCCCUGGACACACAAAGAGCGCGCGGGCGGGGGGGGGGGCGCGCUGGCGGGGGGGGGAGCGCGCGGGCAAACCCAGCCCCCUCCCACCGCAAGUGGCGCGCGCGCCGCAGGGUCAGCAAGAGACGCCCCCGAUACGGGACCCCGGGGUAGCCCUAGCCAUGAAAGUGGGGAGAAAGCCCCCGGGGAUGUAA